GUUGCUGCCUCAGGCCCUCCAUGGUCAUCAAACACCCGUAAGAUGCAAAAAGGAACCAAUGAGAAAAUGAUCGGACCACUGUAAUAUAGGACUAAAACAACUAUAGGACGAGAAAAUCACUUACCCCAUAGAAUGCACUUGGCUUGGGAGAACUAAAGAGUGAACAGAAGUGUGCAGAUAGAUCAUCUAUUCUUAUGUGCUCAUCCUCCAUGUACCUUCGUGGCCCAAUAUCAGCAAAAUUAACCGAACGAAUGCUGGGAAUACAUUGCAGAACGGAUGUUUCUGGGAAUUUGACAUCCUGACAGAUAAAGUUGUUUUCAAAUAAAGUUUUGCCUUAAAAGUAAAAGAUCAUAGGGUGUGACUUUAACUUAAAAUAUGUCUACGUACGUUUGAGUAACUAGUAACUGAUGAGGAACAAUACAAAUGGCAUUCAUCACAUUAUUCAACAUAUUACAAGAAAGAGUUUCUUAAGCAUGUACUAAAAG
rnacentral:lncRNA from 1 species